UUUUCUUGGACCUAGGCUGCAUCCUUGAGGGAGUGCUGCAUAGCCAUUGAGCUCCUUCACCAGCUGGAAGCUGCAAUACAUCUGAAAUGAGACAAAACUUGUUUGGAAAAAGAAGGGAGAGAGAUGGCUUCCUGAAUUCAUACUGGAUAACGAUUAUAUAGAAAAUAUUUAUUUGAAAGACAAAAUCUACCCAAGAUUCAAACUGCUAAUAGAAAUUUCAUCAAGAUUCAAAAUGGCUUAUAAAUAUUUCUUGAAGCUUUCCUUUUGUUGGCAAAAUAUCUGAGUUUUCAUGUGUAGACAAAAAUGAAGAAUCUGUAUUUCACACAUAAAAAAAUCUGCGUCAAUUUUUGAGAAACACACGCAAUAGGUAACAGCAGAUGACAGUCUGGCAAAAUGGCAUCUGAUAUGGAAAUAUGGAUGAAGAAAAGAUGUGUCAUUGAAUUCCUCCGUGCAAAAUGAAUGGCAACACUGACAUUCAUUGACACUUGCUGAACAUUUGUAGAGACCAAACAGUGGAUGUGAGCACAGUGAGGCAGUGGGUGGUGCAUUUCAGCACUGACAACAGUGACAGUGCUUCACCUUCACAGGCACAGAUUCUCAUGAGCAUGGCAUGCAGGCUCUUGUUCCUUGCUUGAGAGAAUGUAUAGCAAAUGGUGGUGACUAUAUUUUGAAUUUGAGAAUUUGCUGUAUCAAAUAGUGCUAUCGUGCUCUUGGUUUCUGUUGUAGUUGCCAUGGAAAAAAAACAGGAGGCAUUACUUUCAGAGCAACCUAGAUUCAGUGGGGAAAAUGCAAAGUAUCUUCUGGUGCUGCUUCACAUGUGUUAUCUAGUGCAGUCUUCUGCCCUAGAAUUUAGGAAUGGUUAUUGGUCCUGAAAUUGUAAAAGCUAUUUUUAUCUGAAAGGUGUAAUAUGAAUUCAAUUGACAGGUUUGGAAUUUUCUUACAAUUAUUAAAUCUUCACUUUAUAAGUUAUAUCAAUCUGAUAAGGUGCUCAAUAAGGCUAAAGGAAGCUUAUUGCUGUCCAGGUGCCCCACAAACAUUGCAAUGUUACAUACCAGAAUAAGGACACUUUCCAUAUUAUUUUAGGAAACAGAUUUCAAUUUUUAGCAAUGCAGUGAAGUUGUGGAGAAAGUUAUGUUAAUUUUCAGAUAUCUUUUCUGAAGAUUCAGGGCUCUUUCAAUCCAUUAUACAGUAAGUAGCAUUCAGUUUGAUUCACAAUAGUAAUGAAAUUCGAUGUGUUUUUUGCAAGAAGUACAUAACAAAUUUAAUACUGAAUGUCUCCUGGAAAAAAAAAAAAAAGAAAGAAAAAAAAACAUUUUCUGGAUUUCAAAAUAAAUAAUAUUCUUUUAUUUCAAUAGCAUUUUGAUAUCUUCUCAAGAAGUCUAUAAGAAUAUAUCACAUCCAGCUACACUGGAAUAAGGAGUGAAGGAGUGAAAGGUGGUUGAAGAUCUGCAAGUAAGAGAUAAAAAUGGAUGAUAAAACAGUGAGACAUCAGGGUGAAUGAAGGAGAUGCUAUAACAAAGAUAUGUAUAUAUUUCUUUGUCUCAUUCAGUAGAAGUGAAUAAAAUGAAAAAGAGUUGGGAAAAUCAAGUCCUGUAAAGUCUGUGGAAAAAUAUAUCAGUAACACCGCAAUUUGAGUUAUGCCACUAUUCCAGUGGAACCUAAGCUAUUGAAGUAUCUCCAUGAAAUACCCAGAAGGAGUAAGAAAGUUCAUGCCAAUGCUCCCAGCUGUGUGUAAUAUUGCUGCAUGUUAAUCAGGGUUUCUCAGACUUCUGUAGAAUUGUGGGGUAUGAGUAGAAAAGGAAAGUGAGGAUAAGUGAAUUGACACAGCUCAAGCAAUGCUGAGUUAUUUCUCCUUCAGCCUGCCAUUCUUAGAAAUUAAUAACAGACCCAUAAUCUUCAAGAUUUACAGUAAUGUCUGGACUGCUCUGUGACCAGAGUUGAAAAUAAGAAUGCCUCUAUUCUGUGCAUGCAUUGCACUCAAAUCAUGUGCUGUAUGUUCUGUGCUAGGUGAUGUAAAUGAGCGUGUUUAUUUUAAGACAUGAAUAAAUAAUAUUGUUUC
ensembl:lncRNA